GUUUGUCUAAUGACGCUGCGCUUAGUCGGGUCGGUGCCGGAUUGGUAAUUCAUUGAUAUUUUUUGCAUUCCUCUUCGAGGGUAAUAAAGCGAAUGUCAUAACUACAAUACGUUUUAACCAUUCAGGCGGAAGUUAGCUUCCGCCUGUUUU
rnacentral:sRNA from 1 species